AUCGCUUCUCGGCCUUUUGGCUAAGAUCAAGUGUAGUAUCUGUUCUUAUCAGUUUAAAACCAUCACUCUAAUUCCCAAAGAUUCCUUUCUGGAAUGGCACAGAAGACCGUAAUUCUGUAAAAUAAGGAUAUGCAAUAUAUUCAAUUUACCAAUA
rnacentral:snRNA from 1 species